rnacentral:rRNA from 1 species
AUUGAACGCUGGCGGCAGGCCUAACACAUGCAAGUCGAACGAGUGGCGGACGGGUGAGUAAUGUCUGGGAAACUGCCUGAUGGAGGGGGAUAACUACUGGAAACGGUAGCUAAUACCGCAUACCAUCGGAUGUGCCCAGAUGGGAUUAGCUAGUUGGUGGGGUAACGGCUCACCAAGGCGACGAUCCCUAGCUGGUCUGAGAGGAUGACCAGCCACACUGGAACUGAGACACGGUCCAGAUCCCUACGGGAGUGAGCAGGGGGGAAUAUGGAACAAUGGGCGAAAGCCUGAUGAAGCCAUGCCGGGUGUAUGAAGAAGGCGUUCGGGUUGUAAAGUACUUUCAGCGGGGAGGCGUUACCCGCAGAAGAAGCACCGGCUAACUCCGUGCCAGCAGCCGCGGUAUUC